AUCUUUCAGUUUAUGAGCAUGACAAUUGGGUGUUCAUGCUUUAUGCAUGAGAUGUGCCUCUUCAAACCUUGUUACAAUGUGGGCACAUUAUCCAUCUGACA